GACGAACGUUGGCGGCGUGCUUAAUACAUGCAAGUCAACUGAAGCAGUGGUAGCAAUAUCGCUGUGGAGGUGGCGCACGGGUGAGUAACACGUAGGUAAUCUGCCUUCAGGUCUGGCAUAACUCCGGGAAACCGGGGCUAAUAGCAGAUGAUGCAGCGGCUCGACAUCGAGACAGUUGUUAAAGCUAUGGCGCCUGAAGAUGAGCCUGCGUCUGAUUAGCUAGUUGGCGGGGUAACGGCCCACCAAGGCAACGAUCAGUAGCUGGUCUGAGAGGAUGAUCAGCCACACUGGAACUGAGACACGGGCCAGACUCCUACGGGAGGCAGCAGUAAGGAAUAUUGCUCAAUGGGAGAAAUCCUGAAGCAGCAACGCCGCGUGAGGGACGAAGGGCUUUUGCUUGUAAACCUCUGUAGUGAGAGAAAAAAAUCCCAAUCUUUGGGACAUGAUGGUAUCUCAAAAGUAAGCCCCGGCUAACUACGUG
rnacentral:rRNA from 1 species